rnacentral:rRNA from 1 species
AUUGAACGCUGGCGGCAUGCCUUACACAUGCAAGUCGAACGGUAACGCGGGGCAACCUGGCGACGAGUGGCGCACGGGUGAGUAAUGCAUCGGAACGUGCCCAGAAUUGGGGGAUAGCCCGGCGAAAGCCGGAUUAAUACCGCAUGAGACCUGAGGGUGAAAGCGGGGGAUCGCAAGACCUCGCGCUUUUGGAGCGGCCGAUGUCAGAUUAGCUAGUUGGUGGGGUAAAGGCCUACCAAGGCGACGAUCUGUAGCUGGUCUGAGAGGACGACCAGCCACACUGGGACUGAGACACGGCCCAGACUCCUACGGGAGGCAGCAGUGGGGAAUUUUGGACAAUGGGCGCAAGCCUGAUCCAGCCAUGCCGCGUGCGGGAAGAAGGCCUUCGGGUUGUAAACCGCUUUUGUCAGGGAAGAAACGCUCUGGGCUAAUACCCUGGGGUAAUGACGGUACCUGAAGAAUAAGCACCGGCUAACUACGUG